GUUGGAGUCAGGUGGGUCAGGUAUAGUCCAGGUAGGUUAUACUACAGGUGUUGGAGUCAGGUGGGUCAGGUAUAUUCCAGGUAGGUUAUACUACAGGUGUUGGAGUCAGGUGGGUCAGGUAUAUUCCAGGUAGGUUAUACUACAGGUGUUGGAGUCAGGUGGGUCAGGUAUAUUCCAGGUAGGUUAUACUACAGGUGUUGGAGUCAGGUGGGUCAGGUAUAUUCCAGGUAGGUUAUACUACAGGUGUUGGAGUCAGGUGGGUCAGGUAUAUUCCAGGUAGGUUAUACUA